CUCAGCCAGAUGCUUUUAAUUUUGGAGUUUCCUAUGCCUUCCUCUUUGGGUUUCCUGUGCUUUCCUUCAGUAAUCGAUCCUAACAACCUGGAAUCUUGCCCAUUUCCUUUUGUCUCUGUGUGUGUGUGAAAUAAUACAGUUCUGAAAUAGUAGAUAUAAUGCUGUUUAUGUUCCCUUUUCUUUUAUUUCUCUCCUUCAUUGCUCUCUUCCUUCUCUGGAUUCUGCCUGGUUGCCCUACUCUUCACCCCUAGACCCUGAGCAUUUGCAUAGUCUUUACUUUCCAGCCUUGGCAGAAGUCUGCAGGUCACCUGUGGAAUGCAGUGCAAUUGGCAAGAGCAUCAGGCCCAGGUGAGGUCAUUGAUUCAUGAAAAUAUUAAAGAGUUUGCCUGAGCUCCCACAGCUAAUAAGGAACAGAGGCUAGAUUCAAAUCCAGACACAAUGAUUAGUGAAUUUUCUGAUCUUUGGUGGCUUGGAGAAUGAGCCUCCAUUUCCUGGAUCCUACCUCGGACUUGUGCUGCCACGGGCAUCACCGAGGUGCCUCAUUCUUCCUGUUGAUGGCAACGGCAAACCUGCGCCUCCCUUAUUCUACACGUCUGACCUUGUGUGUGGACCUGCCCUACACAGCAUCCCCCUUCCAAAAGCCUCCGUGUGUUUGUUCUGCUGUGAGCUGUUGCAGAGACCUACAUACCCUGAGUGGCAAGAGCAGCACCACCGAGCUCAUUCCCUGGAAACUACUCUUAGCAUGGAGCUGCAUGGCUUUGAACUUUGUCUGUGAGCAUCUGUGUUUUGUCUUGAUUUAUUUUUUGUGCAUCUGUUAGCAAAAUGUGUUCUAAGGUAUCAUAAAAGCCUAAGAGAAUUCAUAAGAGUGUUAUGUCUAACGUAAAACUGGACUUAAGUCGUGUUUUGAUCAUGUGAACAAAAUAAAGACAUUGUGUGUGCAUUGAAUUUUGGAUCUGGGAACACUCAAAAAUGUUUCCUAUAACAAUGAUAAGGGCUUCUGUGCUUUAUGCCAUUUUGGUUUAUGAAAAGUUUGAUAGGAAUGUUCUACAUACAGAGAGAAGGGAAAACCUGUAUGUAGAAGUACAGGGUCCUGCAGAAGUAGCACCAUGGAGUGUGGUUGGUAGGGUAUGUGAAUGUCUCUCAUGAGAUGGACAGCAAUUUGAGUAUUUCACCUAAAAUGUCAUAUGAUGUGUUUGAGUGUGAUAUUGUUAAGUUAAAGAAUCACAUCCUUAUGAUUUUGUAAUUAAAGAUUUGGUAUAGAUUACCAGCUCAUUAAAUAAAAGUGUGAAUAAAUAUAUAUAAAUAUAUAACUAAAUAAUUAAUUAAUUAAAAUAGUUAAUUAAAUUAAUUUCUAAAUAGAAAACUUUUAUCAGUACUUUUAUCUCAAAUAGUUUUCUAUGGAAAUUUAUAUUUUUAUAUUCAUUAUCUAGCUAGUAAUCAACAUAUCUCAAAAAACAUGGAGAAUUAUUUUUUAAAUCCUCACCUAAGGACACGUUUAUUGAUUUUAGAGAGAGCGGAAGAGAGUAGGAGAGAGAGGGGGAAGCAUCGAUGUGAGAGAUAAACAUUGAUCGGCUGCCUUGCGUAUGCUCCCAGACUAGGGAUCAAACUCUCAACCUAGGUGUGUGCCCUAACCACAACCCACAACCUUUUGGUGUAUAGGAUGAGGCUCCAAUCAACUGAACCACCUG